GCCUGCGUAACACAAAAAGACAAGAUACCAGGUGAGAGGUGUGCCCAUGCGGCAUUUAUUAGGAGGGGGUGGACAUUUGGAAUGAAAUGCCUAUCUCAAUCAAUCAGCCAUACAUUAGACAUAAAUUACAAUCUGUGUUAAAAUGACUAAUUAUUGACAUCUGCGGCGCCAUCCUUGUGUAACUGUGUUUUAAUUUUAAAGUUCAGUAAAGGAAUGUGGUUUCCACAGGUGUAUCCUGCCCAUUGUUGGCCAGAAUGAAGUCAUUCGAAAAGAGGAAUUUCAGAAACUUUACUAUGAGCUAUCAUGGGUGGUUCCCCUGUGCGUUCAGGAAGGAAAUACUACGUUGCUCGUAGACAAAGAAAAUGUUGAAAAAAAAAAAAAAGUUCACAGCUUCAUACCAGAUAAAAGAAUAGCCCAUAUUAUUAGAAUGAAAUGUUGCUAAAAUACAAAACUUUUGGAAGAAAACAACAAAUAACUGCUUGACUUACUGCUGGACUCCCUGUGCCACUAGGUCACAGAGGCAAGGUAGAAGGAAGGGGGGAUAUAAGCAGAAGAACACAAGUAAACAAAAAGGGCACUCCACCCAAAAUAAACAUUAACCCUCAGUGCUAACAUACCUCUAGAUUUACACGUACAGCCUUACAACCCGAUUAGAAAAGUAAGAGGUGUCUAAAUCUAUUGGCAUAUUAAAACCCAUAAAGGGUCACUAUCAUCAGCAGACCCAUUACAGCUUAAUGUUGUGGUUUUGGGGCAAAUAGACUCGGCAUUGUAAAUGCUGUAUAAAUGGAGAUGCUGAACUCUCCACAGAGGUGUAGGGGCACACGUCGCAUGGCAAUAUGAGAACAAAAGCAUUAUCUGUUUCUCCUCUUCUCUAUACUACCUGUCAGGUGCAAAGGACAAAACCAAGACUGAGGUUCUCUGUUCCAGGGGAGAAGUAGCUUCAACGUUAUGGCCUUUAUGUAGGUUUCCAUUUUAAUUUUCAGACCCAUAUUUGUUAAAUAUAGGAGGAUAAGAAUUUUUUUUUUUUUUUAAUGUAAAAUCCUAAUUUUCUUGUUUAUUGUGUGUCCUUAAAUUCUUGCAAUUAGUAGACCUUCCAGUAGGAAAACGGACAUUGGUCUCAGAUUUUGUUAAUCCUUUGCCCAAGUCCUCACCAUAACAACUUUAAGAUGUCCUGUACAAACUACACUCUUAGGGAUAGUUACUAUAAGACACAGGCUCAUGUGACACAUGGCUGUACGCGGAUAUAGAUGCACUCGUAAAAAGGCCAUCAUUUCCAAGCACUUCAAGAAAUUGAUGUACUCAAAUGUGCGUUGCCAAGUGAACAAAAGGCCAAAACACAGCAGAACUAGAAAGAUUUUCAAAAUGUCCCCCUCUCACACCUUGGGUACAUUUUGCAUUAUGACUGAAUUCACCAUUUAGUGAUUAACCCCUAUUAAACUUUUAUAUGUGGUUUGCUACUGCUGCACACAAACAUUUUGUUUCUGCAUAGACUAUAAACUAUCUGCCAAAGGUGACUUUGGAACAAUGUGAUAAAGGAACACCUAGUAACUAUUUAUCUAUUGAGUUUGUAAAUGCAACAGCAACAGCUUCCUGUUGAAGGCAGACAGUCUGUUUCUGACUUAAAUGCCCACUUUCUAGUAGCUCAGACUGUUAUGGGUGUGUAUUUUAGUGAUAACAACAUUAACAUGCAGAGCGUAGAGCAUUAAAACUCACCACAAUGUAUGCAUUAAGCUGUACAAAUAAUAUACGUCAAUAUUGGUCUACAAAAUGUAUAUAAUAUUUAUUUUUUUUGAGUCUAAUCGGGAGGGCAUGAUGCAUGAAAAAUAAAAUAAAAAUAAUUAUAUCAUUGACAGCUGGUCCUAUAGCAACAUUACCCUAAAUCACGAUAGUUUAUCAAAAAAUGAGCGAUGAAUAAAAAUCUUUAAAAACAAAAACAAAAAAAAAAACAUUAAUUAAAAUCUCCAACUUGUGGCCUGAAUUUGAAAUAUCUUUUUUAGUUUCUUGACAAUUCAAAAUGUAUUAAAUGACGCCCACAAAUGUUUUUGUGGUCUGUGAGGUUUUUAUUGGGGUAUACCUCAAUCCUGGGAUUUCCAGACAAAUUGCUGGAGGUACCUCUGCAGUAACUAUUUCAAGUGCUUCAAAAAGGAACCUGUUGAGGUUUAAAGUCAUACAAAUGCCAGCCCCACUGGGGGAGCAGAAGAAGCUGGCCUAAUGCUUGUAUUAAUGUACUAGUAAUCUAGGGCUGCUACCUUUAGCAAACAUAGAAACUUGGAGGAGACAUUAAGGAAAUCGACUUAUCACAGUGAAAAGAUAGCUCGGCUGCUGUAUAGUACAAUAAUGGGAGUUAUUAAGGCUUGGUUCCAAACCUGAAUGAACUUUGGCAGCAAACUAGAGGUUGCAGUAAAUGAAGGGAACCUGGCACGAUGCUUGUUCUAAACCAUGCAGCAGUUUCCGCUGACUUAUGUAAAAUUGCAUUAAUUCAACGUCUACACAUGCAACCUUUGGAAUUCCAACCUGUGUGCUCAAGGACUGAACAUUCUAGUGGUUUGAAUUCUGGGUAGCAUGCCUACCAAAGCACACACACUGACCAAACCAAAUAUCUCUCAAGCAAUGCGAACCCACAUAGGUUACAGCGAAUGAACCCAGACAGAAUUUAAAUCAUCCCUUAUAAAUUCACCCAUUGAGAAUAAAUAUUGAAUAUUAAACCUAACUACUUAUAUUCAGGCUCCUAACUAUUACUCACAUGUUGCUCUGCCAGCCCUGAUUGACAUUUGGAGCAUAAAAUGGUGCCUUUAUUUUCAUGGGAACUGCAGGUAUUUAUACCAGAACUACAAAAGACACUUAUUCUAGGCCAGGGGUGCCCAACAGAUAGAUUCUCCAGAGGUUUUAAAACUACAGCUUCCAUGAAAGGCCUGCAAAGCACCAUGGGUGAUGUAGUUCUACAACAUCUGGGGAUCUACCUUUUGGGUACCCCUGGGUACCCCUGUUCCAGACAGAAUUUAAAUGAUCCUUUAUAUCCCGGAUGCGAUGGGUUAUAUAAACAUAGCCACGCAUCCGCCCCUUUCUUACGCAAGAUGCUACUAAGGAGCUUGUCCAUGCUCUAGUAAUCUAAGCAUGGAUUAUUGUAACUCUCUCUUAACAGGUCUUUCCAGAAGUCAUAUUGACUCGCUACAGUCUGUAAUGAAUGCUGCAGCUAGACUGAUUUUCCUCUCCUGUUGCUGCUCUCAAACCUCUCCCCUCUGUCAGUCCUUUCAUUGGCUUCCUGUAUCCUAUAUGAGUCAAUUCAAGGUACUAAUCCACACCUAUAAAGCACUGACCAAUUCUAGCCCCUCCUACAUCUCUUCACUGAUCUGCAGGUAUGCCCCUUCUCAGUCUCUCCGUUCUGCCCAUGACCUUCUCCUGUCCGCUGCUCACACCCGUACGGCCUACUCACGCUUGCAGGACUUCUUGCAGGUGGCUCCUUUCCUUUGAAAUAGCUUGCCUACAAUGAUCAAGCUCUCUCCUAGUCUUCAAUCAUUUAAAAAGUGCCUCAAAACCCAUCUCUUAAGGAAAGCUUAUGGCCUCCCAGAGUAACCUCUACCUCACAUACCUGUCUCUUGCUCUCUCCUAAAGGGCAGCACUCUAUUCUCUCCUCCAGCACGGAUUCACUCCACCUUGUUUGAUUGCUACCUCCUGUCCUGUUGUGUUUUACGCCCCACCUCCUAUAGACUGUAAGCUCGUUUGAGCAGGGUCCUCUUCAACCUAUCGUUCCUGUAAGUUUUUGCAAUUGUCUCAUUUAUUGUUAAAUCUCCCCCUUUGAUAAUAUUGUAAAGCGCCAUGGACUGUGCUGGCGCUAUAUAAAUACCAGUAAUAAUAAAUAAUAAUAAUAAUAAUAAUAAUAAUAAUAAUAGGCAAUACAAAUAUUACAUUUAUACUUUUUAAGUUAUAUUAAAAUCAUGCCUAGGUUGAAAUAUAUUUUUGGAAUUUUUAUUUUGUUUUACAUGUUUAUUUAGUUUGUAAUAAAAGCAAUUAGACUGUAAAUUAUUAGUGCAGUUUCAUAAGUGCCCACGCAGAGGCUAAUGAAGUCAGCAGAAAACAUAUUUAUAUAUCAAUAAGGAGAAAGCAUAAAGAAAUAUAACAGCUUCCAAUAAUCAUAUAUCGAAUUAGGUUGAUCGUGUAUUCUAAUGCAGGCGUCUGAGUAAGCAUAUUUGUACCCGAGUAAUAUAUUAUCUAAUUGAGUGUUUAGUUAGGAUGUGCAACGUUAGGUCAGUGGUGUAUCCUGGUUUUGUGCUGCCCUAGGCAGGACAAAACUCAGGCACCAGCGCCAUCCUCACCCAACCCUUCCACCCUGCCCCGCCUUCUAAAUACAAACACACACAUUCACUGAAAGAUACGCAUACACUAGCUAACAGACACACACACACACACACACACACACACACACUCACAUUAACACACUCACUUUUCUUCUUAAUUUACCCCCCCCGCCUCCUUACCUUUGGGAAUGUUGGGGGGGGGGUUCUUUCUCCCUGGGGUUUAGUGGGGCUACUGGGCAGGUGGCGCUGGCGAGGGAGCACUUUCCCCUGAGCUGUCUGCUCAGCUCCCUUGCGCACCGCAAAGUGAUGCUGGUCACCUGAAGCCGGAAUAUGACGUCAUAUUCUGGCUCCCAGCAUCACCCUGCGGCGCGCGAGGGAGCUGAGCAGACAGCUCAGGGGAAAGUGCUCACUCGCCAGUGCCGCCCGCCUGGCUUGUCAGUUAGCCACAAGGCUAACAAGACAUUUGCCCUGGGCAUUUGGGGCGGCUUUUUUUGCCAUCUCCUGGAAAAUGCCGCCCAAGGCAAAUGCCUUGUUUGCCUCGUGGCUAAAACGUCCCUGCGUUAGGUUACUUAUGCGUAAGUGGAAGAAUUUUUAUUUUGUAUGUGUGGAGUUACGUAGGAAUAAAGGACACUUUUAGAAAUCACACAAAUGCUUUAACACAGCUUUGACUGGAAGCCAUUCAUAGUUGUUAUAAUUUAUGUAGUGCCAACAAAUUCCGCAGCGCUGUACAAUGGAUUUUGUACUGUAAUUGCAAAAUAUAGGCCACAAAUUACUUGAAAUAGUAAAACAUUCUUCAAUGCAGUCAUUUUCCAGCUGAAAUUGUGGCCUAAAUGUGUAAUUUAUAGUUUAGUGAAUUAAUGCUCCUCUUUGGCAGUUUUCCAGAAAUGAUUUGGCCAUGGGGAGGAUGCAGAUGAAAAUAUUGUGAAAUAGGCGGUUUCCUAAUGUAUGGCUCAGAAUGAAAGUGUUUUGAAAUUCCAGCACAGCCCAUUAUCUGCUAAGUGCCUUAAUUUGUAUAGAAAUAUUCAUAUAUGAUUCUUAAAAAAGGGAAAUUGACGCAGCUCCUAUCAGAUGCUAUGCUGCACAUUUGGGUUAAGUCACAAUAGAAAAAAAAAAAAAACAGAACACAAACAAAACAAAACUAUAAUCACACACAAAAGCACUCUGCUAUAGUUUCAGCAUGGUUAUUUUAAUCCGAAUUUUGCAAGUUGAUUUUUAACUUACUGCAGUAUUGGCUCUUUUUUUUUUUUUUCAAUUCGUCAUUUAUUGAAAAAGUUUUGGUAUGUGUGGUACAGAAAAGAAAUGGGGAAAUGGUGGAACAUGUGCAAAUCAAGCAUUUCGAUCUGCAGUAAUAGAGAUUACACGCUAAUUGGCAAUCCAUACAUGAAGGUCAAGGCAACAGAGCCGUUUGCAUUAGCGGUAGGUCCAGUAGGUUAGAACCUUACUGGGUACUCGCACUCUGGAUUUUAUUCGUGGGGGCCAGCAUUACUGAAGCCCUGCGGAGGUAGGGUAGUAUGGUUUGGGCGGUUACGACCCAUUUGUAACAAAACACACAAGUUUGCUGAAACAAUCACCCAAUAUUCAACAUUUAAUCUAGCCCUGUGUCGCAAACUCAUUUCAUCCCCUCUAGAUUGCACAUCAAAUAGGUGGGGAUACGUCAGAACUCGAACAUUCAUAUAACCAUCAUUGAUGUCCACAUAUGUCUGUGUCUACUUAGAAGGCUGUGGACGGGAUACGCUAUAUAGGUGAUAACAUGUUCUGUGACGUGUGGUUAAGCCACCGUUGCCAGCUGUGGUGAGUGGAAGCUAUUUGUUUGGGUGUUGCUGCUGUUAGCAUUCAUUCCAAUUGUCGUAUCUUACGACAUAACUGCGGAGGAGAAGGGCACACAGUUUGUUUCCAGUGGCCAGCGAUCAGAUUGCGUGCAGCCAGGAUUAUUAUUACCAGUAAAUGCCUGUCCGAAGGAGGGACAUUAAUAGGGGAGUAUUGACUUUUUUAAACACCUAUUUUCUGUUUAUCAUUAGAGAUGUCGCGAACCGUCCUUCUCUGGGAGGGAGGGUCUGCUGGAGAUUGGCCGGGAUGUGUCAGCUGACCGGAGUUCGCCGUGAACAGCUCGUGGCGAACCGUUCGCGAGAAGUUCGCGGACGGUUCGCGACAUCUCUAUUUAUCAUGAGACAAAAGUGCUUUUGGUGAUCACACCUACGAUAGUACCAUUGUUCUACUACAAUAAAUAUAAACAAAAAUACAUUGCUCCCCUCAUUGGGUACAGAAAGGCCUAACAAUAAUGGCAGUGCUUUUCAGGAAAGCUCCAAAAUUAAUUUUAUUUAGACCAGACAUGAUAAUGUCACAAUGGACAGAUUUGAAAACCAUGCAUGGUUUGCACGCAUGCAUAUCAUACGUAGGCCCAGAGGAGUUCAAUUCAUAAAAGUACAUUUUCUGGAUUGUUUAGGGAAAUGUUUCUUUCUGCCCUGUAUAUACUUUUUUGAGGAGGCAGUGGAAGACGUACACACAAAAUAUUACCCUGCUACGACAGAUCUGUAGAAUUUAUACCCAUAUCUCCCAACAUGUCAAAUGGGCAGAAAGUGACAUUUAUUUUAGGGAGGGCUGCCUAGAUGGGGCAGUGCCAGCAUAUUAUAGAAACCCUUGUGAUCUUUAGUGCUACUGAAAAUGUAACCCGACCAAAGUAGCUUAUUUACACAUUUAUUUCUAAAUACAUUUAUUACAUCUUAAAUACAUAUCACUGUGAGUUUUAAAGUUCCGAGACUGUUAAACACCCAGACAUCCUAACAAUAUGGAGCUCCUAAAAGAGGGGGGCAUUAGGAUAAACGAGAGAGAGAAAGUUAUUUGAACUAAACUAGGGACUGAGCAUCAUAAAUAGGGACACUUGGGAAGUAUGCAUAUCUCUUAUCCCCCUAAGCCACUUAAGUCUUGAAACAAUGAGACGUAGUCAGAAGUGCUAUGCAGAGGUGUGUGCCUGCCUACGUAGCUUUAAUAAUAGGCUUCACUGCUGUGACUCAGUACUCGACAUAAUUAUAUUAAUUGUGCAGGCCCAAGCAUAUUCUGUAAUUGCAGUACUUGCAGGAAGCCCAGCAUGUCCGGGGUCAUGUAUUAAAUAGUGUUAAUGGUGAGGACUUUGGUUUGGGUGCCAGCUGGCGUGCAUUGACUUGAGGUUAAGCUAUAAGUUACGAUACUACAGGGUGUGUGUGAUUUGUGGUGGGUAAAGAUAGGUGGGGAGCACACGACAAGCUAUAGAAGGACACAUUGGGAGGAUUGCUAAUUAAAGUUGAGAAGAGAUCAGGGCUGCUCUGGGUUGGUACCAGAAAGACUUUUUGAGUCAGUGCAUCCACACCCACCACCUGUACUCUGUGCAGGACAGAAUUCUUUAACUUUUAAUUUUUUUUUUUUUUAUUAUUACAUUUAUUUUUAGAGGAGGACUUCACCCCUCCCAGGCACAAGACUUUGAGUAGGAGUUUUCUCAUAUUCUCCAACUGCACCUUAUCAGAAGUAUCCAAGGUAAAGGAUUGUUAAUGAAUGUGUCUUAAACUUAGGACUGCAUCCCAAAUCCCCUAUCCAUUCGUCAAGACACACAUUGCUUUAGCAAAUGCUCUUGAUUAAAGUUAAAAAUUCCUCCAAAUCAUUUCCUUUACACAAAACCCAAUUAAAUAAGCCUGUAAAUUUCAGGGUAUUUCCCCAAAGGCCACCAACAAACAUUAUCACAUUUCAUAGACACAGAUCAACCUCAUAAGUUUAUCCAGGUGGUCCUCACUUUACUACCAACUCUCUAGCAUGGGAAUUCAAAGGAAUUUUUCAUGAACAUAGAUUAGAGGGAUUCCCUGCUCUUCUGCGCUUGUCUAUGUUUGGGGAAAUUUACCCGAACAUAGACCUCACUUACUGACCAAUUCGUUUUACGACCUGAGUAUCUGUAAUGUGAGGAGUAUCUAAUGACAAGCAUCACAUGAAUAGUGAUGCCUGGCAGUAUGUAGUAGUCAAAUGCCAAAUGUAGGAAAAGUAACUCAAUCUGAGGAAGUCUACAAAAUGAUUGCUAAAUGACACAUCAUGUUCUGCUUAUCACAAAAAGAGACUGUGUGUACUUAAAACAUGGUUGAUUUUUGUCCCUGAAAUGGUCCAAUCAAAUGCUUUUUAUGACAAGCAUUUGAUUGGACCAGGCGAGGUAAUCAGUGACAUUGGAUAGGGGGUGCGGUGGGGUGACAAACAAUGUGGAGAGCUUCACUUGGCACGUUGUAAUUAAUUUUCUUCCCUUACUUUAAAGGUCUUCAGGGCGUAAGGGGGGAAUAACACCAAAUUGCUAAGGAUCAAUAAAAAAAAAGUUAAAAAGGUUUGGAGUAACCCUAUAAGAAAUAAAUAUGUAUUCUGUACAAGUUUAUUUCAGUCUGGGCAUGAUCCCUGGCAUAUCAUGCAAAUUCCAUGAUUAUUUGCAAAUUAGUACAGAGACAUAAAAGGAAAGCAAAGCUGCUUUUGCCACUUUGCAUAUUGACGCAUAUAGUACUGUUAAAAUGUAUGUAGGAAAUGGGCACAUUAUUUAACUGCAAUCCAACAGCAGACACUUUAGGAAACAGUUGUUUUAACUGUCCCAGUAGGCACCCAGACCACUUCAGCUAAUUGAAGUGGUCUAGGUGCUGUGUCCCUAUUGCACUUAGUGCUGCAAUGUAAAACAUUGCCUUUCCAGAGAACUGCAAUGUUUACAUUGCAGCUCUAAGUUUAAGUCUACCAGACAGCCACUGGGGGAGCUUUGGAAACGUUCUGCAUGAGGACUUCCAGCAUUAGAUUUUCCCCACAGGAAAGCAUUAGGUCUCCCCCGCCGGCAGAAGUUGGCAGAGGAGGAGCGUCUGCGGAGCCUGACCCAGCAUCGAGGGACAUAGGCCCUGGAUUCAGGUAAGUGGGUGAAGGGGUUGUAAAGAACCUCAUGUACUUUGUGAAGUACGUUCGUUUGCACCCUCCCGAAAUGCUAGAGGUUUAGUGAUUAUAGUCCGUUCGCAUAGUACGCUGGUUAGUACUAUCCCGAAAUCCAAGCAGGUUGUGAGAAUAAAUUAAUCGGUUCAUCGGUCACAUACUCAAACAUUAGUCAAGACUUGAUGAAUGGUACAACUGGAAUGUUUUAUUAUGGCCAGGUGGCCCACUUAUAUAGACAGAACCCCAGCAUGGGGUCUCAAGCAAGGACAUAGUAUAACACUCCCACAACAUGCCCAAGACAUUCCCAGGCCUCAGUGUCUGGGAGAUAAUUUAGUGUACUUUGCUUAAACUAAUUAUCUCCCAGGCACUAGAGGUACAAAUCAUAAAACAUAAAAUACCCCAAAUACAUAUAACACAUAGAUGAACCCCCACAAAUAUUCUACCCCAGAUAGCCUGGAUCUGAGCGCCUAACAUAUCCAAAUAGCGCUCAGAUCCUACGAAUAUAACCGAAUCGCCCCCAGGGUAAAGUUUUGACUUUUUGGGAGUUCCAAAAUGAACAAAAAAAACCAAACUGUUCCCCUGUUUAUAGGUAGCGAUUCUUCGCCUUGUUCAUGCGAACAAUCCUACCGAACUGCGCUCUCCUGGCUUGUCGUGGAAAGAAGCAAGUGUUCGUGUGAAAUUACAGGUGAUCGCAAGUCAAGUGUUCAACUUAUAGUUCCAGACACUUGAUGACCAAUAGAGAUGUCGCGAACUUCCCGCGAACGGCUCGCCGCGAGCUCCGGUCAGCUGACACAUCCCGGCCAAUCUCCAGCAGACCCUCCCUCCCAGACCCUCCCACCUCCUGGACAGCAUCCAUGUUGAAGCUGCCUUCGUGGCGAACCGUGGCGAGCCCUUCGUGGGAAGUUCGCGAACGGUUCGCGACAUCACUAAUGACCAAGUCCCGCUGCCUACUUUCGUGUGACAAGAUGGCCGCCGUUUUCUCCAGCACGUGUUGUUUGGUUAUACGAAUGGUGGCCAAAACAGAAAGAGCACUUGAGUUAGUUUAUUUGGAGCUAAUGAACCAAGGGGUGGUCCCAUCUACCGAACACAGGGAAUUUAACUGGGUGAAUAAAAAUACAGAGUUUGUCACAUGGGGUUUAACCCCUUCAGCCCCUCAGGAGGGGAGGGCGCAAUGGAGGGGGGCUCCUUAGGAACCUAUAGAGCCAGGAAAACAGCCUUUAAAUCGGUGUUAUUUACUGAAGUGAGAAUUGCUGGAAUCCAAAUAGAAUUUCAAAAUUUAAGGCCAAAGUAGAUAAACUGGAAAAACUAUCCCAAAUCAACUAGGUUUCCAGCACAAACACACACACUAAAUUAACAUUUUAAACUUUUUACCACCCUGAAGUCAAUGAGGAUUGUUCACUUAAGCGAGAAUUGUUAUCAAUUUAAAGUGAAUUUCAAGUUUAAAGUAUGACUAUAGUGUUUGGAAUAGAAAAACUGUCCCUAACUUUAUAAGUCUGUCCACCACCAUCCGAUGAUUGAAGUGUUAAAAACCCUCUUCCCAUAACCAAUGCUCUGCUAUGGGGAACAUAGCAGAUGUUAGAUGUCCUAAUGCUAAGCGAGAUGACGUCCAAGGUCCAUGAGUGAACCGGAAGUGCUAACAGCCAAGAGAGGAGGUUGAGUUAACACUGCAAUGUAAUCACUGCAGUUUAUCAGAACAUGUUUUACAUUGCAGAGUUAAACAAAGAGGGACACUGCACCUAGACUCCUUCAAUGAGAUGAAGUGGUCUGGGUGCCUAUAGUGUCACUUUAAGGGCUAAAUUGGAAGCAUAGAUAACUUGAGACAAUUCUCACUUCAGUGACACACUUUGAAAUAACAUAAAUUUGAAAGCUAGCCUUGUGCACAAAUCAAAUUUCUGUUCAAAAUACUUCUGUUUAAAUAGCGCAAAAACUUAUAUCAGCAUCUCCAAUAAAUCUGACAUACAGCAUUUCUGGGCUCCUAGCAACUACACACCAUGGACAUCUACACGUUUCAUUCGAAAGGCAAUUUGUCAGUUCCAGUUAAGUUAGAACCAUUCUACCCUCCUGACGAUAUAGAGAUAUUACAGGUUAAUUGAUUAAAAAGUCAUGCAGCAAUGACUUUGUAAUUUUAAAUCAAUUGCCUACAUUGGUAAAUAUAGAAUACUAUUUGCAAUUUUAAAAAUGUAAAAUAAAUGAAUAAAAAAAAAUUUAUAAAACCAGUAAACAACCUUACCAAUACACAUAUAUUGAAAAAACAAUUCUAAAUACCACCAGUUUAUUAAGUUUACAAUAUAGUAACAUCACUCAGUUUAUACUUUGUAUGAACUAUAGAGAAAACCAUUCUUUCUACAUGUCACUAUAUUUAUGAAAUAAAUAACAUCUUUCAAAUUGCAACAAAAUGUAUACUAAAUGAUAGUUUCCCCUUCCUAUUCAAAGUAUAACAGUUAAACAUAUAGGUAUUAGAAGAUGAAAAGAGCAAUUAUAAAGAACAAACAAAACAAAAACAAAAAUUUUUUAAAAAUAAAAUACAAAACAAAAAGCCCCUUGAUCAGCCAUAAUCAGUAUAGGAAGGAAAUGUCUCAUGCCACAUUCAGAGCCCUGGUAACCGAGGUAAAUAGCCAAAAAAAUGCAUCUGCCUCAUGCCAUAGCAGAGAUUAGGACACUGAUUGGCUGAGAGCACUCAGGUGAUGCUACCCCAUUACAUGGCUCUGAUAUUUUAUUAUUGCAGGUAGUUGGGGGACUAAGCCAUUUAGAAGUGGUGCGGAUGCCAGUGCUGGGUGACGCCAGACACCAUAAUCACUUUAAUCAGUAGAAGUGGCUAUGGUGCCUACAGUGUACCUUUUAAUCAAUUCUGCUAUUCACAAAAGACAAAAUUAUGUAUUUCAAUCACAUUUGCACUUCUAUUCAGUUUCAGUUUAAAAGUCAGGCAAAUCUCCAUAUAACAUAGGUGAUUCAACCAUUCAUUUGUUCCAAUUCCCCAGAUACUAACCAGGAGAAACUGGAACUACAAUUCAAAGCUCUGUGAAAUUGCUGCUUAAGGCUACAUACACCAAACAUCACUUCUCAUGAGAGAGACAUUUUAGUACAUGAACAUAUUUCAGAAACAUUUCAUACCUCCUCCAUGAUGCACCACUAGCUUCUGCUUUAACACAGGUGAGUUAAUCAGUAUAGCACUAUGUUUCAUUAACACACCUUUGCAGAGUUAGGAAUAAAUGUGCACCUCUUAAUAGGGCUGUCCAGAGGGGAAUGUUGAAAAUGACUGCUCUAAGUGCUUGGAGACAGCAUUUUGAGAACAGAAAAACUUCUCUACUGUGUUUUCACCAUCGCUGUCAUUAUUUUUGUUAACGUGUUUCCUACCAACAAUCCCAGGUUAAGUGAGACAGUCCUGAAUUUGUGAUCCUGUCCUGCUUCUAUGGAGGCUUGAAAAAAAAUUGGAAAAUAUUUUCAUUUGAGCUAUUUUGGCCUAAAAUUUUAAAUUUACUUUCAAUAUUAUUCAAUAAACUCUGAAUUGUACCAAACAUUAAAAUUUGAAUUGCAAAAACGGAGGCAAAAAUAACAGAUUUGGGAUAUUUCUCGAACUAUGUUUUAGGCAGAGGUUUGCUAUUUUAUCAUUUGGUUUUGAAUUUAAAUUUGAAUUCAGUAGAAUUCGGAGUUGGUGAAUAACCCUGACUGAUUUUAGUUGAUCUCCUGGCAAUACACUCUUCAGUGAAUAACAUUUUAUGAUCUAUAAAGAGACAUUUUAUUAGUAUGAGCGAAGCGUUAUUCUCCUUACAAUAUAAAAAUAUACAAAUUCCUUGUUCCAUAUGAUCACUGAUUUUCCAACUAUUAAUAAAAAAUAAAAAAAAGAUAUUCCGUUUGCUGAGCAAGACACAGGUCGUCUCUGUCAGACUCUACAAGGCUCUCACCACUGUGACUGUAAUUUUCCACAUGAUCGUCAUGGAAUCUAAUUUGAAGCCCUGUUUUCUAUGGGUUCCGAGACUAAACAGUCGCUUAGUGUCUAAACCUGUAUAAACCCAGAGACGCAGUUUGGAGAGAUUUAUUUACCAGCUCCUGCUUAUCCUUAACAUCUGUGUGGCAUUAAAGGCUUCAUGGGUGUGUUUAGGAAGGCAGCUGGGUUGCCAGAUCACCUACUGGGUUCUUUAAAGUGUUAAAUAAACACUCCAGACAUAUAAAGCACUUCAGCUUCAUGAGAGUCAGUUAUUUUCCUCAAUAGGAAUCGCAACUUUUAGAAUUGGGAGCAGAAACACCUCCCCGGCUGUCGCCCUACUUUUUGGAGCUAACAGAAGUAGCAGGCACACUGGGCUAGAUUGCAUCGGCCUUCUCAAUGAGCUGUACUAUAGUUCAUAUUAGUGCAAAACCGGGUACAUUUUUGUGGGAAUCUUGCACGUUUAUUGACUAAAGGGUAACUUGUCAGGACUUUAAGGCGUAUUUUAGGUCACAACAGCUGAAUUGGAAAAAUUCUGAUGUAUAUUACAUUUCAGUUUGGCAAUUGUCUACAAUUAUUGUUGUUAUUAUUAUUUUAUUAUUUAUAUAGCGCCAGCAAAUUCCGUGGCUCUGUACAAUGGGUUUAUCAUUUGAAAUUCAUAUUCACAUUCAAGAGCAUUUCCCUCUUUAGUGAACAAUCCCAUGUGUAGGCCGUCUGGUGGGCAGGACUUUCAAGCCCUGAAUGACAGAAUGUAGAAUUCAUGAGCAUACCAUGAUAAACGUGCAGUUUUUAAUCAUUUGAAUCAAAUGUAAUUGAAGGUUGAAAUGCGGUGAGCUUAAGAGAACUUAAAAAAAAAUAUCACUGCAGGUAGAUUUGGCUCCUGCAGGUGCUGUCCAGAAAGAUUAAUGAGAUAUAUCUAUCAUUGUGAUGAAAGGAUCAAUAGUUAUUCAUUGCAGUCUCGAAGUAGAUAAGUACAUUAUGCCAUAGUUAUGGUGGCCAAAUUCUCUAUAUGCAUGUAACUCAUUAAUAUUGAUUGUCAGGAAAUGGAAAGUGCUUCCCUGCAGUAUGUAGAGUUCAGGGAAUGGCUGGAUACAUUUUGCUGGGGAGGCGCAGACUAAAACGAAAGGCCUUUUUUGUGGCAUAAAAUUCAAAGAUCCUUUGGUGGAUGGUCCUACUCACCUAGAGCAUGAAUUAAUAUAUGGAUUUAACAGAUGGAGGCUCCUAGAACCACUAGGUAUGACAUCACAUAUCCCAGCAAUGUCACUAUGACCUGCACAGCACGGAGGAGCAUUCACAGAUAUUUGUGAGUGCUUAAGAGACGCUGUGCUGCUUAAUGCAACUCCACUGCUACCAAUGAAAAAGUGUAUUAUGAAAGCGCUGUCUCACCUUGGUCACUUGGAAACACCUCCUGGGUAGGUCAUAGAUGCUCAUUAUAGUCUGGCAGCUGGGUCAGCCCCAAAUACUGAAGUCUGCUUACCAAUUUCCCAGUUGAAUAGCCCAUGCCUGGAAAUACUGACAUUGGGGAUGAUCAAUGCAAGCACGAUCCAGAAGGACAGUACCAACAGGCAUCAAUGGACCUCCUGUUGCCCUAAAGCAGUGCUGUCACCAUUUGGGGGCUUCGCUGAAUUUGCAAAGACGCUUAAUGGUGACAUCGCCGCUGGGGGAAACCGGUAAGGAGAGAUUUACUUACCUGAAUCUGUCCCUCGAGGGUGCUGCAAUCUUUCAGGGUUUGUUCCUUUUAAAUUUCUGGUGCUCUCCAUGCGUGAGAGUACAGCAUUAGGAUCUAUGAAGGAUCCUGCAACACCGUAGGAUCCUCCAUAGACACAGCCAAUUCCCUGUAGCCGACAAUGGUGACUGCUGUUGGGACUGACACUUAAUUUGAGUCUUAAAUUGAGUCUAAGAAACUCAGGCAGAUGAAAAAAUACAGUGACAAAGGAGUCCCUAGUCUCUGUAUAUCUCUUGACUGGUUGGAAUUUCAGUAAAAUUCUUCUAAAUUCUUCAGUAAAAUUCUUCUAAAGUAAUAGCCUAGACAACUCUUAUAAGCUCUGGUUAAUGUUAGAAAGAAAAUAUAAAUCGUAAUAAAAUACAGGCACUUAUUUUGAAUAAAACAAAAAGUACUCCAGCUUCAGGGGGAUGACACAUUCAGAUAAUAUGACUCAAAUAGAUUAUGUUUAAAAAGCAUUCAGUUCCACCCAUGUGACUCUUCUUGUUUCUCUUUUAGAUGGGUAUCUGUAGAACUCAGCAUGUAGUUCAAGAUUACUGAACUACUACUUUGGAUGUACAUUGAGAGAUUGAUGGUGUCUGUGACUCCUGCUACCUCACCUAAUCAAUGAUAAGGGGCUGAGGAUGAAGAAUGCCCAUUGCUACGAAACUAUCCUACAUCAGCCAAGAAGACUUAUCAAUGCCUUGUUAUGACUCAUGCCUUCCCUUAGCAGAUAUUACCAAACCAAGCACCCAAAAACCUGACCACCUGGGAUCCUAUCUCAGCAUGCGAGGUCCUCUGGAGAAACCUACCAACCCAGGCCAGAACAUAGAACUAGUCAUCGGUUUAGUCCUCAGCCGCAGUGGUCAAUACUUUAAAAGGUUGGCGAUCAGGGUUUAGCUAUCCGGGAUACCUGAUAUGUGGGGUUU